rnacentral:rRNA from 1 species
GAGUUUGAUCCUGGCUCAGAUUGAACGCUGGCGGCAUGCCUUACACAUGCAAGUCGAACGGCAGCAUGAUCUAGCUUGCUAGAUUGAUGGCGAGUGGCGAGCGGGUGAGUAAUACAUCGGAACGUGCCCUGUAGUGGGGGAUAACUAGUCGAAAGAUUAGCUAAUACCGCAUACGACCUGAGGGUGAAAGUGGGGGACCGCAAGGCCUCAUGCUAUAGGAGCGGCCGAUGUCUGAUUAGCUAGUUGGUGGGGUAAAGGCCCACCAAGGCGACGAUCAGUAGCUGGUCUGAGAGGACGAUCAGCCACACUGGGACUGAGACACGGCCCAGACUCCUACGGGAGGCAGCAGUGGGGAAUUUUGGACAAUGGGCGAAAGCCUGAUCCAGCAAUGCCGCGUGUGUGAAGAGGCC